ACGGCUCGGGCGCGCCGGAAGCGGCGGAGGUGCGGGGCGACCGCGGAGUUGGGACGCCGCGGGAGUAAGAGGCGAAGGCGGAUAAGUGAAUGGAACUUCAGAAGGAGAGUUGCUAAAAGUGACAGAAAAUGGCAUAUCGAAGAGAUGAAAUGUGGUCUGAAGGGCGAUAUGACUAUGAAAGAGUUCCAAGAGAACGUCUCCCUCCGAGGAUUCAUGGUGAUGGUGAUUACCAUAGAAUAGUAAACAUUGUGCCCAAGAAACCACCACUGCUUGAGAGACCUGGGGACGGGAAUUACAGUCGCUAUGACGAUUACGGUCACGCCGAGUACAGAGACUAUGAGGAGGGUCGUAGUUUUUCCCAUGCCCGAAGAAGCGGCCCUCCACACCGAGGUGUACGUAAGGAUGAAUCAGGAUACAGAUGGGCAAGGGAUGAUCAUCCUACAAGACCUGAAUACAGGGAUGUCAGAGAUGGCUUCAGAAGAAAAAGCUUCUAUUCUUCUCAUUAUGUGAGAGAUCGAUCCCCUCACAAGAGGGACUCUCCCUUCUUCAGGGAAUCGCCAGGGAGCCGGAGGGAUUCUCCGCACAGCAGAUCUGGCUCUAGUGUCAGCAGCAGGAGCUAUUCUCCUGAAAGAAGCAAAGCCUAUCCUUUCCACCAGCAUAGCAGAAGUAUGUCAUCUUUACAUAAAAGAAAUAUUUCUUCUCAGCAAGGUAAAGAGAGGACAGGUCAGUCACUGAAAACAUCAAGAGAUGCAUCACCUUCAGGGUCCACAGCAGUACCUUCAUCAAAGGCCUUGGAGAAGAGCAACAGACUGUCAGAAAAGGAACUUGCAGAAGCUGCAAGCAAGUGGGCAGCUGAAAAGUCAGAGAAGGCCGAGGAAAGCAAUAUACCUGAGAUAACAGAGUAUGAUAAAGCAAGCCUCCAUUAUAUUAAAAAUAAAGCGUGCCUUGUUCCUGCAGCUGGUUCUUCAGCUCCAUUAUACAUUGAGCAAGCAGAGGAAACAGAAGCAAACCUAACAGAUAGUACAGAAUUACAUGAGGACAGCCAGCUUCUUAGUCGUUCAAAAGCAAUUGCAGCUAAGACAAAGGAGAUUGAACAGGUCUACAGACAAGACUGUGAAACCUUCGGCAUGGUAGUGAAGAUGCUAAUUGAUAAAGAUCCUUCAUUAGAGAAGUCCAUUCAGUUUGCCCUGAGGCAGAAUUUGCAUGAAAUAGAUACCCUUAAAACAUUAAAAGGAAGGUGGAAAUUGAAGGAGUAUGGAAAUUCAGAGUGUCUGCUGAGACUGAAGUGGUUACCUCUGUAACCUUGCUGGGGUAAGUUGGCAGCUUUGAGUGACAAUGUAAGCAGUAAAGGUGGAAAUCAGCAACACAACCACUAUUGAUAUGAAAGGAGGUAAUACCAGGUAUCAUAGAAAGACCAAAUCCUUGUCACUUUGUCUGCAAGAUUUUCAAUUUUGAUAAGGGUAAAGUUUUGCCUUCAUAUUUUUCACUGUCAUGAAGGUUGUACUGGGUGUGGCUGGGAUGGAGUUAAAUGUUCUUCGUAGUGGCUGGUACACUUCAGGUUUUUCCUGGAAACAUGGUAAUAACAGUGGGAUGUUUUAGCUAUUGCUGAGCAGAGCUUAGCCAGAGUAAAGGCCUUUCUGCCUCUCCACCAGUGAGGAGGCUGGGAGUGCAUGAGCUGUUGGGAGGAACACAGCCAGGACAGCUGACCCCCGGUGAUGGGACAUCAUGCUUGGCAUGUAAACUAGGGAUGGGGGCAAGGAGUUUGCCAGGGCUGCUGCUGUUCAAGGACAGGCUGGGUAUUAGCUGGAUAGUGCUGAGCUAGUGGGUUUUUUGGUAUCACUUCAGGGUUCUCUGUUUGGAGUUUUUUGUUUGUUUGUUUUUAUCUAUUAAAAAUAGUCUUUAACUCAGCCCAUAAGUUUCCUUAUUUUUCUUACUUUUGUCUCCCUCAGCCCACUGAGGGGUAGUGAGUAAGCAGCUGUGUCAUGCUUAGGUGCCUACCAGGGUAUGUGCUUCACUAGGAGUAUGGGUGCUACCUCCAAUAACACCAGCCACGCUUAGAGCUUUUGUGAUGUAUCUGAGUCUUGUGCUGGUCACAGACACUAUGUCCCUGUCCUGCUCGGACAGCUGGACUGAGAUUUCUGCCCUCUGAGGGGUGAAGAGCAGGCUGCCGAGCCCCUCACCGGAGAGCCUGCUGGGCCCCAUCCCAGUGGGGCAGCUGGGGCCCCUUCCUGGUAGGGCUGGGCCCCUUCCCAGGGGUGACAAAGCUCCUGCCCCCAGUCCCCUUGGUCCUUUUUCUGUUGCUGCCACCGGGAGCCAGUGCUGAGAGCAACCAUACAGCUUGGAGUGCCCUAUGGUUGGCACUGGGGGCAGCCCUAAGGCCGGGAGUGGCCGCGUGGCCAGGACUGCACAGCCAAAAUUGCCAUCGCACACCGGGGCAGUGCCAUGCAGCUGCAGCUAUCUUGGCAUGGCUCAUGAUGAACUUUGCUUAGCUGCUUUCAGCCAGCCAUGCUGUGGGCAGGACAAAAACAGCAGCAGCAGCUUUUCUUGUUUCUGGUGCCCCACACAAUGGAAAGGUGCAGGGAUGGCACCAGCAGCCAGCGCGACUCGCACAGUGCCAGCAGCGAAAGACAGCAAUUCCUCGAUUGCAGAGCCUGGAUGAGAUCAAGUUUUCAGCGCUGCAGAACUCUACAGAAACUGUUUCAAUUGAUAAAACUUGAGAACAAAUGAACCUAAGAACAAUUCUCUCCUGAAUCAAGAAGAGGAAAGGAUGAAGACACAUAGAAAAAACAACAUGGGACACUGAGAAACACAGGUGAGAAUGGAAGGCCCUAAUCAUUGUUGGAGCAUCCUGGAGAAAGUUAUGAACAUGUCAGCAUCUCCAGUGUCGUAUGUCGCGCCAGCUGGAAGCACCCCACAAGGCACCCCUUGGUGCCCACGCGAGGGACCAGGCAUGGCUGUGAUCAGCUGUCACCUCCACAAGGCCUAGGAAAGCCAUGAGGAAAGUGACUUGUGUGGUGAGCACCAUCUCUGGGAGGAAAGGAUCUGCUGCUCAUUUUACCCUGAAAAAUACAAGCAAGUAACUGCUAGUCUGAUUAUCCUUAGCUGUAGCCUAAUUUUCUUUGGUGUAAACCAGUGCUUCUGUUCUUUCUGUCCCUUACUUUGUUUCCAUACUUCUCUAUCCUCAAGGACAAGCUUAGUUCCAAUUGACAGGUUUUUUUUGUAAGAAGCAUCAACAAUUUCAUUAGUUUCCUUUCUUCAGGUGAUCAGAGCGCCAAUGGCUUUAGCAUUUACUAUUUCAUUAGUGGAUAUUCACUGUUUAACAAAUUCCUGCUCUUUAUUUAAAACAGUGGAAGAAGUUUAUUAGAACUUAAAAUAGCUCCUGCUCCAUAUCUGAGUUCAGGACAACUACUGUGAUUACCUCCUACUUUAUAGUUUUUGCCAGCUUGCCUUCUAGAACCACUCAGUAUCUCUCUUCCUUUAGGUAAGCAAAGUUCAGAAGUUAUUUUUGGGGAAGAAGGGGGGAAAAAUAAUAAAAAAAUCCACAUCCACAGAAGUUGCAUACUGGUUGUAAUGAUAUAUUCCAAGCUUGUGUGGUUUUUACAUUUAUAUAGUUUACAUUUUGCUUGACCCAUAAAUAAUACUUGCAAGAUUAAGAGGGCCAUAGAGAGUAUUUACAUAGCCCCACCAUGCAUACAGAGCUUUUAAUACCUAGUAGACAAAAUUAAGCUGUUUUGCACUGAACAUUUUUCAACUUAAACCCCCUGACUAAAAUACAAGCAAUAUUUCAACCAUAACACUGCUGUUAAACCCCUAACAAAUCUAGUCUGAUAUUGUAACAAACUUCUUCAAAUCCAGGGAUAUAAAAAUAUUCAGAUUUUAAAAUUUUAACUGUACAAUAUGUACAUUAGUAUUUGCACUGUUAAAUUAUGAAUACAUUUAAGCCUAUGAAAUACUACAUUAUAAAUAUCAAUUUUUUUUUACUUAGAAUUGCAGCUAAUACAUUUUAAAACCUGGAUAAUGCAUGUGAAAAGACACAAUUCUGGAGCCUAAUCCUUUAAGCCCAUAUGAAAAUAUUUGUUACGUAAGUAGAUCCAUUGACUUAAAUGGGGUUACAUGCCUGAGCAAAGGACUCCAGCAGUUGUACCUCUCUCACUGCUGAGGGGUGGGGGACAUGGCAGAAAAAUCAUCACCACUCCUUGGCAGCUAAGUCCAAUUCCAGAAGCUGAAUUAAUAUCUUCCUUUAAACAGGCAUGUAGAAAACCCCAAACCAAAACCAACCACCUCACACUUUCUCAAAAAAUUGUAGAGGAAAAACCAUGAAAAUUAAAUGUACAGAACAUUCACUGCUGCUUUGGGAUUCAUCACGGUUCCAAGCAUUUUGGCUCCCACAUUAUGACUUUUGCUUUCUUAAGGAGCAUUUUCCCAAAAAAAAGAAUCCAGUUUUUGUAUGGAAACUUGAAUGAGGAAGAGUGAGCUUUAUCCAUGAAGAAAGGGCACAGUAUAGAGCCUUCUUGGCAGCAAGAGGAAGAAAUCAAAGAUCACCCUGUGUGUCUAUAGCUACAGCACAGGGCUAACAUUUUUAUUUAUUCAUCUUUGUUGAAUCCUCUCAGAUAAUUCAACGUAGUGAAUAGUGAGCAUAAAAUAAAAUGUCAAAAAAAAGUCUGCAUUAAGAACUACAGUAACAGUAUUUUGACAGCUGAAACACAGUGUGUAAACCUAGCAGUAUCUAAGCAGAUCAUUUGGCGUGGUGACAUUUCUGAAUGUUACUUCUACAAUGUAAACCCUGGCACAGUUAUCAUUUACAGUGGCAAAGCAUUAUGGACUUUAGCAACUUGCCUAAGUACAAUUAUUAA